GUCUUCCUAGUAUAACUAAUUCAGAUGACUUCCAAUCAUCAAAUCUUAGACCCAUCUAAGGGAAGAUA
rnacentral:tRNA from 1 species